rnacentral:rRNA from 1 species
GUGCCAGCCGCCGCGGUAAGACAGAGGGUGCAAACGUUGUUCGGAAUUACUGGGCGUAAAGCGCGUGUAGGUGGCCCGGCAAGUCGGAUGUGAAAGCCCUCGGCUCAACUGGGGAAGUGCAUCCGAAACUACCGGGCUCGAGUGUCGGAGAGGGAAGUGGAAUUCCCGGUGUAGAGGUGAAAUUCGUAGAUAUCGGGAGGAACACCAGUGGCGAAGGCGGCUUCCUGGACGAACACUGACACUGAGACGCGACAGCGUGGGGAGCAAACAGGAUUAGAAACCCCUGUAGUCC